UACAGAGGUCCCAAGCGUUGUUCGGAUUCACUGGGCGUAAAGGGUGCGUAGGCGGUUGGAUAAGUCUGAUGUGAAAUCUUCGAGCUCAACUCGGAAACUGCAUCGGAAACUAUCUAGCUCGAGGAUUGGAGGGGAGACUGGAAUUCUCGGUGUAGCAGUGAAAUGCGUAGAUAUCGAGAGGAACAUCAGUUGCGAAGGCGGCUCUCUGGACCAGUACUGACGCUGAGGCACGAAAGCGUGGGGAGCAAACAGG
rnacentral:rRNA from 1 species